CCCUUCCCUUCCUUAGACCCAGGAAUGAGGAGUUCGGAGGCCCAAGGGAGAGGUCAUGCAGACAGACCAGCGCCACCUCCCCGGGCAUCUUGCCCCUGGUUCCUGCACCCAUGGAGCAUGUUCUAGGCAUCAGCCUGUUGCUCGGGGAACUAUGCCCAGACCCAAAGUGAGCCUGCAGGCUGGUGUCAAGGGAGAGGUGCCCACCAUCUGCUCUGCAAAGAAACAGAUACCAUCAGCUCAGCCAAGUCAAACAGCCUGGAUGAAAACAGGUUCUCCCGGAAUCCCAAUACCAACAGCCAGCGUCUCAGUGAACGAUCCAGGGUCCGAGGCAGAGGGAACAGCAACAGCCCUGCCCCGGGGUAUCAGCGAGCCUGCCCUCUCCACAGCAGGUUUGCCAUCUGCCAAGAAGCCCGAAGAUGAGACCUGGGAUUCUGACCGUCUCUCUGUGGGUAGGACAUGCGAGAUGAGACAAGUGACAAAUGCUGGGAAGCAGCGCCGUGGAUCAAGAGGCAUGUCUGCUCACACUGGCCCUUGAGGGAGCCCCGAUCAGCAUGCAGGACAGGAUGCCUGGCCUGCCUCCAAGCAGAUAUCAACCCUGGGGAUGACCAGGAAGCAUCUCUGAGCUGAGGCUUUGUCCCCAGAGAGGCAAAGGGAAAAAGGGCAAAAAUAUAAAAUGAAGAUUGUACAGAAGAAUUACCCUGUGUGUUUCUCCCAUCUCCCUCAUCUCCCCGUGUAAAUUACCCUAUUAUUCUGCUCCCUUAGGACGCCUGAUCAUCCUUAUUUC
rnacentral:lncRNA from 1 species